rnacentral:rRNA from 1 species
UACCAUCACCCCGAGUGGUCGGGACGAUUAUUGGGCCUAAAGCAUCCGUAGCCGGUCAUGCAAGUCCUCCGUUAAAUCCACCUGCUUAACAGAUGGGCUGCGGAGGAUACUACAAGGCUAGGAGGCGGAAGAGGCAAGCGGUACUCAGUGGGUAGGGGUAAAAUCCUCUGAUCCAUUGAAGACCACCAGUGGCGAAGGCGGCUUGCCAAUACGCGCUCGACGGUGAGGGAUGAAAGCUGGGGGAGCAAACCGG